rnacentral:rRNA from 1 species
UGGGGAAUCUUGCACAAUGGGCGAAAGCCUGAUGCAGCGACGCCGCGUGCGGGAUGAAGGCCUUCGGGUUGUAAACCGCUUUCAGCAGGGACGAGGCCGCAAGGUGACGGUACCUGCAGAAGAAGCCCCGGCUAACUACGUGCCAGCAGCCGCGGUAAUACGUAGGGGGCAAGCGUUAUCCGGAUUCAUUGGGCGUAAAGCGCGCGUAGGCGGUUUGUUAGGUCAGGAGUUAAAUCUGGGGGCUCAACCCCUAUCCGCUCCUGAUACCGGCAGGCUUGAGUCUGGUAGGGGAAGGCGGAAUUCCAAGUGUAGCGGUGAAAUGCGUAGAGAUUAGGAGGAAAACCGGUGGCGAAAGCGGCUUUUUGGCCUGCAACUGACACUGAGGCGCGAAAGCGUGGGGAGCAAACAGG